rnacentral:rRNA from 1 species
GAUAAACGCUGGCGGCGUGCCUAAUGCAUGCAAGUCGAACGGUCAGUUCUCGCAAGAGGACUGGUAGUGGCAAACGGGUGAGUAACACGUGGGAAUCUGCCUCGAAGUGGGGAAUAACUGCUCGAAAGAGUAGCUAAUACCGCAUACGCUUAUUCGCAAGAAUAAGUAAAGCUCUCGCAAGGGGGUGCUUUGAGAGGAGCCUGCGACUGAUUAGCUAGUUGGUGGGGUAAAGGCUCACCAAGGCUGUGAUCAGUAGCUGGUCUGAGAGGAUGGUCAGCCACACUGGGACUGCGACACGGCCCAGGACUCCUACGGGAGGCAGCAGUAAGGAAUUUUUCCGCAAUGGGGGCAACCCUGACGGAGCAACGCCGCGUGAGGGAAG